AGCUUUGUACAGUGGCAGUAUCAUAGCCAGUGAGUUUAUCUGAGGGAUGAUGAUUGCUAAUUAAAAAAAUUAAAUG
rnacentral:snRNA from 1 species